UUUUAUUUUUACAGUGCAGUAUCUAGAGGAACCCCCCAAAAUUCUGCAUGAAAUGGGGAUUUUUAGACUGAUCAUUUUGAUGCUUUAUAAGAAUAGGCCAAAGUUUGGUUUGUGGUCCCUGCUAUGUGAACACACAUUUUAAAAUCAUGCACAUGAUUAGAAAAGGCUAAAUGUUAUUUUGAAAAAAUUCAGCAAGCUUUUAAUUCUUUUAUAUUUAUUAAUAUUGAUAUUAUAUUAAUUGGAGACAAAACUAUCAUUCAAUAACUAUUCAUUCCAUAACAUCCUAAAUCACUGAAAUCUUUUGAAAAUGUAAUGUUGUUGUGUUUUCCAUUCAAACAAACUGCAGCUGCUCUGUGUGUUUAUUGUGCAGUCUCGCCCUCCACAGUACUGUGGCGCUGUUGGCCCAAUGUCGCAGCGUCAAGGCAUGUGGCGCUUUCGUUAGUAAUAUGUGUGUUUAACUUUUUCCAGCUCUGCGCAGACCGAUCACCUUAUGACAAAACGCAUACGGCAUUAGAAUAGCAUUUCUAAAGCAUACAGGGCAGUCAGUUCACAAAUAGCUCUCACUGUGCUUUGAUGUCAUACGCCGUUCCGUCUGCGAUCAAACAUCUGACUGGCACGCACGAGGUGUACGAGUUUUCACCGGUGUCCUCUCGCGCCACAGGCGGGAAUUCAAAAUAACGGAUGGCAACAACCUCUCGACUGUCCCAUUGGAGAAUUUUCAGUAUUUUCCAGUUGAGUAGACAAAAAAAGGACACCCAAGGCCAACAGAACCAGCUCCAGCCCGCCCUGAUGCUCAUCCUUGCACUGCCUAGGACACCUAAGGCCAACAGCCGCAGCUCCUGUUCUCUUUUUGCCAUAAAUACAUAUCUACUUUAGCAAUACAAAAUUGUGAAAUGCACUAUAGAAAUUAUUUUGACUUUGGAUCCUCACACCACCUGGUAAUAGCAGGAAACCCAUUUGGAGAGAACAGCAUUGUUUUUUUUCUUGCUCGCAAGGAUUUGCUUUUUGGCAAAUUACAACUACUACCAUUGGUGUAGGCCUUGCUAUUAGAGACUACUUUCUUGCUGGACUUUUUUACAAUUGUACAUUUGUACAAAGUACCUGAAAUAUUUCUGUAUUUAUAUUUAAAGUUAAGGCAAAUUAUUUGGUUAGUUUUGUUAAGAUGUUGUUUUCAUUUAUAACAAUAUCACCAACACAGUAUUAAUUAUACAUUUGAUUUCAUGAAUUUAGAAUUGUA